UUGAUUCUCAAUCCCAACAUCUCUCACGCCUCGCGGCGCGAGGGGUCUGUAUUUGGGGAUUGGAUCGUGGCCUGCCUGCCGUCCCCGGUUCGUCCGGAGGACAGCUCGGCCGAAAUAUAGACAAGUGAUGGCACCCAAGCGUGUUGACCGGCUUGAACUCGACGUUGUAAUUGCUUCCCUCGUUGAGCUACGGUUUGCGCGUCCUGGCCUCGGCCUGGAAUAUUUGGGCUCACUUUGAAACAUAACCUCACUACUGAGCAA
rnacentral:misc_RNA from 1 species